GAUGAAGAACGCAGCGAAAUGCGAUACGUAAUGUGAAUUGCAGAAUUCAGUGAAUCAUCGAAUCUUUGAACGCACAUUGCGCUCUUUGGUAUUCCGAAGAGCAUGCUUGUUUGAGUAUCAGUAAACACCUCAAAGACUUCAAUUUGUUUUGAAUGGCUUUGGACUUGAGCAAUCCCAACACCAGUCUUUACGAUCGGUGGAGGGUUGCUUGAAAUGCAGGUGCAGCUGGACAUUCUCCUGAGCUAAAAGCAUAUUUAUUUAGUCCCGUCAAACGGAUUAUUACUUUUGCUGCAGCUAACAUAAAGGGAGUUUGACCGUAUUGGCUGACUGAUGCAGGAUUUCACAAGGGUCGGCAACGAUUCUUGUAAAACUCGAUCUCAAAUCAAGUAAGACUACCCGCUGAACUUAAGCAUAUCAAUAAGCGGAGGA
rnacentral:misc_RNA from 1 species